GGGCGUCAUUGCCAGCAGUUUCGAGAUUGGGAACCUGGCCCUCAUCCUCUUUGUGAGCUACUUCGGAGCCCGAGGACACCGGCCACGCUUGAUAGGAUGUGGAGGGAUAGUCAUGGCCUUGGGUGCCCUCCUUUCCGCGUUGCCUGAAUUUCUGACCCACCAGUACGAAUACGAAUCAGGAGAAAUACGCUGGGGGGCUGAAGGGAGGGAUGUGUGUGCUGCCAACGGGUCCACCAGUGAUGAGGGACCAGACCCGGACCUUAUCUGCAGGAAUAGGACUGCUACCAACAUGAUGUACUUGCUGCUCAUUGGAGCACAGGUCCUCCUGGGCAUUGGUGCUACCCCUGUCCAGCCCCUGGGAGUUUCCUACAUUGAUGACCACGUGAGGCGGAAAGAUUCCUCCCUCUACAUAGGGAUCCUGUUUACGAUGCUGGUAUUUGGACCAGCUUGUGGAUUUAUCUUGGGCUCCUUCUGUACCAAAAUCUAUGUGGAUGCUGUCUUCAUUGACACAAGUAAGCUGGACAUAACCCCAGACGACCCUCGGUGGAUCGGUGCGUGGUGGGGAGGCUUCCUGCUGUGUGGUGCCUUACUCUUCUUCUCGUCCCUGCCGAUGUUUGGGUUCCCGCAGUCCUUGCCGCCACGGCCGGAGCACACUGGAGAGAGCGAGCAGGCCAUGCUUCCCGAGAGGGACUACGAGAGACCCAAGCCAAGCAACGGGGUCUUGCGGCAUGCGCUGGACGGGGAGAGCAGCACAACCUGCUUCCAGCAACUGCGAGUGAUCCCCAAAGUAACUAAGCACUUGCUCUCCAAUCCUGUCUUCACCUGUAUCAUCCUGGCAGCCUGCAUGGAGAUCGCAGUGGUGGCUGGCUUCGCCGCCUUCCUGGGAAAAUACCUGGAGCAGCAGUUCAACCUCACCACCUCAUCUGCCAACCAGCUCCUGGGGAUGACAGCAAUCCCAUGCGCGUGUCUGGGCAUAUUCCUGGGUGGCCUCUUGGUGAAGAAGCUCAGCCUGUCUGCUCUGGGAGCCAUCAGGAUGGCCAUGCUGGUGAACCUGGUGUCCACAGCUUGCUAUGUGUCUUUCCUGUUCCUGGGAUGCGACACAGGACCUGUGGCAGGGGUUACUGUUCCCUAUGGAAACAACUCAACUCCAACCUCAUCUCUGGACCCAUAUUCCCCCUGCAAUAACAACUGUGAAUGCCAAACUGAUUCCUUCACUCCAGUCUGUGGGGCAGAUGGGGUCACAUACUUAUCUGCCUGCUUUGCUGGCUGCAGCAGCACGAACCUCAGUGGCUGUUCGUGCCUCACCUCGGUCCCUGCCGAAAAUGCCACCGUCGUUCCCGGCAAAUGCCCCAGCCCCGGCUGUGAAGAGGCCUUCUUGACAUUCCUCUGCGUGAUGUGCGUUUGCAGCAUGAUUGGGGCCAUGGCGCAGACGCCGUCAGUCAUCAUCCUCAUCAGAACCGUGAGCCCCGAACUCAAGUCCUACGCUUUGGGGGUGCUUUUCCUGCUGCUCCGUUUGCUAGGUUUUAUCCCACCUCCGCUGAUCUUUGGGGCUGGAAUUGACUCCACAUGUCUGUUCUGGAGCACGUUCUGCGGCGAGCAAGGAGCCUGCGCGCUGUAUGACAACGUGGUCUAUAGAUACCUGUAUGUUAGUAUUGCUAUAGCCCUGAAGUCUUUUGCAUUCAUCUUAUAUACAACCACCUGGCAGUGCUUGAGGAAAAACUAUAAAAGAUACAUCAAGAACCACGAAGGUGGUCUCAGCACUAGUGAGUUUUUUGCCUCUACUCUCACCCUAGACAAUCUGGGGCGGGACUCGGUGCCCCAAAAUCAAUCACAUAGGACAAAAUUUAUCUAUAACCUUGAAGAUCAUGAGUGGUGUGAAAAUAUGGAGUCUGUUUUAUAGUGACUGUGGAGGGGUGAACUAUAUUAAUAAUACAAGGGUCCUUUUUAAUAAAAACAAGAAAAGAGCACGAAUUAAGAAACACAACUGCAAAACAACAACAGCAACACAGGAAACUUUUGUCUUUUUCUCAAAGUCAGACCCAGCCAGGAUUCUUGAGAACAGCAUCUUUUAAUGGAAUCACUUGUGACACCCUGCAGAGUGAUGGAGAAAGCAGGGAGCCGCUGUGGCUGGGGACCAGCCCCUUUGAUGACAGUACGAGCUUCCAAGAAGGGCAACUGCGGAGGUUCAUCGGAGAGCUCGGCAAACGGACAGGAUUGGGCAUGAGGCAUAGAGAAGUGUGGCAUCGCACAAAUGUCAGUGCAUUUACCCCUCAAUGUAAACUGCAUCUCAGUGCUAUGUUUUUGGUGCCUCACAACUCUUAACUGUGUGAACUUGAAAGGAAGAAGUGACCCCUGUUCUUCGCCCGUGAUGCUUUCUGCCUGACUGGAGGAUGACGAUCCCUCUUGAAGACUCAUCAGACUCAUCAGCCAUUUUCCUAAAGUCUUACGCGCAGUGGGACUAAAACUGUGCUCUGUUGAUUGCAGGUGUCCUAUAAGCUGUGCUCAGAGGUCUGUAGCCUGUCUGCAGCCCCACAUUGCCUUCACGAUGUUUCCAGUGCAAAGCAUGGUGAUGAGGCUAUGCAUAACUGUCCCUGACAAAUGUCAGGGGUUGCCAGCGGUCUGUGACCACCAAAGUUUAGGAGUCUCCAUAUUAGCACAUGAAAGCAGCUCCCAUCAUCUACAGUUGAGAAGGAGCCAUCUCAGAGCAGGGUGCAGUGGAAUUCUGCAGCAGCGCUGGGAUCCUGCGGAAGGGAGCUUUCGGUUUGCUUUGGUACCACGUCUGUGGGGAGGAGGGGUGGGGAGGGGAGCAGGGGAACAGCUGUGACCUUUUAAAACCCAUAGUGCCUACCACUGCAAAUGGAACGCUGUAUUGUAUUAUAUUAUACAUGACUACCGUGUAAAUAAAGUACAAUAAAUGUGGUGUUUGUUAGGAUUUUGAUACAAGUCAAAUGCAGUCUGCAGAAAUACUUUCUUUUCCCUGCUGUAUGUACUUAUAUCACAUUCCAGGCGUGGGGACCUUUGUGGCUGUGUGAGCUAGAAAUGCAUAAAUAGCAUUAGAUGGGAAAUGUUUGCAAUAAGAAACUCUUAAAAUUCCCUUCGCCCUGUAUAGAUGAGACACAGGCACCAUAUGAAAACCAGCCAGAGUGGAGGCAGCUUAAAUAUGCAGGAGAGCAGCUCUUGACUUGACAUGAUCUGUAAGCAGAAGCGACAGUGUUGCCCAGCCAGUCCUUGGCCAUGCUUCACUCAUGAUGGAGGGAGAGCAAAGUUUUAGUUUGGCUGGUUUAUCUUUGCUUGUUUUCCUGAUGCAGAGGUUGAUCAGGAGCAUAUGCCUUGCCUGUGAAACCUGGUUAUUCUCCACCCUUGAGAUCCCUUAGCAGCAGCAAACUUGAGAGCUUAAAAUUCAAAGCAGAUUGGGAAAGAACUUCUCCUGUUCUUAAAUCAACCAGCUGGCCCUUCUGUGGCUCUGACACACAUUGAGGGGCUUUUUUUUUUUUUUGGCUAAUAAGAAUAUUAGGAACUUAACUUUGUUCCUUAACUCACUCCUUUCUCCAUCCUCAUGUUUCUCCAUGGUGUAAUAACAGAAUUAACACAUUUCAGGGAGACCGGUCUGCCACGUGCCCUCCCAAUCCUGAUACACCUCUUAACUAGGCUCUUGGUGAGAAUUUUCUCCAGUUUAGAGAAGCUCAGGAAUUCUCCGGCAAGUGUUUGUGGCUGGUGUGUGGAUGUAAUCUUCCAUUGGUGUGUGGAGGGCGCUUCCAUGUUGAUUGUCUUUUUGGAGGAACAAGACCACCCCAUGCAGUUUGUCACACCUAUGGCUCGAAACUCCCCCACAGAGCUCACAAUAUUGGAGGAGUAUCCACCUGCCUCUGUACCAGACCAGUCAGUGAUGUUUGUCCCUCAUGUCACUCAUGUUCUUCAUAGUCACCUGGGCAGAGCAGCAUUUGUGGGUGUUUGUAUGUGAAGAAGGACAUCUCCACAGAUGGUCUGUAGCAGCGUGCAUGGCACCUGGAUGAGCCUAGGUACCUCUACCCUGCCUGGGGCUGUAGGUUGGUCUUUUCCUACAGUGCCCAAGGGAAAGUGGUCCUCGGAAAGGUCUUUGAAGUGUGCAGGCUUGACUGCUGGUAAUUUUGCAGAUGCUUAACAGCACUUCCAAAAUAAACCAAAACCUGGUUUGAAAAAGGAAAUGUUUCACUGUACGAUUGAUUU